CUUGAGCCUCAAGCUAUAGCAACAGACACUGAGGGAGGGUAACACUUGAGUAGCAGCUCUCUGUCUGGGCAGCAAGGCUAAUUUUUCCUGAGGGGGGGAAGGCUGCUCUAGCAUUGCUGCCUCCUGAGAGCAGCCUCAAAGGUGGCUCUGGGGAGUUCUCGGCUCCCAUUCCCUGUGUAUUAGGCUAGCACUGCUAAGCCAGCCCAGCCGUGUCUGCCUCAGGUAGCCUGACCCUGUUACUCCAAUUUUUUAGAUGUAUCCUGGGUUUAUAUGGUGCUGUCUCACCUCUCUGGCGCCAGUUCUAUUUCUUGGAAGUUUUUUUCUGGUUGUAAAUGUUGCUGUUUGGUAGUCAGAGUGUGGGCCCAGUGCUGGCUGGACCUUGCAGAGAAUCAGCCUUCUUCAGCGGCAGGGAGAGAGGGAGGAAAUAGCUGUUGUUAAUCAUCGGGAGAGAGUUCAGCCUCCAGAGGUGGAACUGGAGAUUGCUAUAUGUAUUUUAUCAAUCCUUUGGGAGCUGUUGAGCUGCAGGCCUCAAAUUAAAGCUAUCCUUAAUCACUCCACAAGCCAUUGGGGUGGGGGGGGUAGCACAGCAGCCUUCUAUUUUCUAACACUGGGCAGUUUGGGAGCUGCAGACUUGCCAUAAAUUACCAACAAAACAAAACUUGGUUUCUUGAAGCAGGCCUGGCCUGGCAAGGAGGCUGUGUCUGCAACAGAGAGAGCACUUGCCAAGAAGAAGUAAAUGCAGAGCAGAAUACGUGCCUGAAAAACUGCAGAUUUUUUGGCUGCUGUCUGGGCUCAGCGUUGCUGAAGGGGAGACUAUUGCCUUCUCCAGGACUGAAAGCUCCUGCAGAGGGGAGAGUUGAUUUUAUUGAAAAGCCCUCAGCCAGUUGCUGCAAACAAUCCCAGAUCCUGCAACUUGAGUGCUUUUGCUCAGUUCUUCUGUGUAGCCUGUUCCUCCCCGCUCCGGCCUUGGUGAGAGGGAAGGCAGAAGGAUAUCAUGCAGGUUUCCUAGCAGAAAGGAUGGUUUGUAUCUUAUUUCCUCUACUCCCAGAGGUCCUGUGGUAGAUCACUGAGGCUGUUAUUUUCCUUUGAGAACUCAGUGGAUGCAGGCUGUCUUUCCAUGCAGUGCAAACUUAAACCUAUACUCCUUCCAGAGUUGCAGAAGUCUGAUCAGGAAGGCUGGUGGGGUACAUUUUGCUGGUAACUACUUAAAGGAUAGCACAAAGCCUUAAAACCCUUUGUGAGAGUGCUUUUCUCUCUCCUGGAACAGAAGAAACCUGUCGAGUUGUGGCUGGGAGAGAGUUGGCGCAGCCGCAGUGUGCCACCUGUGGUCCAGCACAAGAGCAGGGGGAGCAUUUCACUUGUGUUGAGCAUGAAACACAAAACUUCCUUUGCAAAUGUGAUGGAGAACCGCAUGUGUGUUUGCUUGCGUGCUGAGGGAGUCUGGAGCUUGUUUGCACCAAAAGCCUGGAGGGUUUUUCUCACCUUGGCAAAGGCCUCCUCACAUGAGAUUUCUCUAUCAGAACCUGAAGCUGCAGCAAGUCCCUGGGAAGGCACUGAUUUUGCUGUGGGUCUUUAGUGCAAGUCACAGUCAGAUCAAUUGAAGAGCUCUCCUGUGAAGUGUGCACGAGAGAGGUGUUUUGGAAAGGACCUGUGACUCUGUGCUUUGAGAGCAGCAAUGUGGGGCUCAUUUAAGAAGUCCAGUGUAAGAUCAGUGCUGUGACUGCUGGGGCCAGCGUCUGAGCAUUAUCUUCCCCGACUGUGUGCAUCAGGGAAGAAGCUGGAGAGCAGUCAGGCUGCAGAGACUUUCUGUUCCUCAAAGCCAUUUUCAGCACAGGAUGCUUCCAUUCAUGAGGGUGAUACACAAAAACCAGAUCCUCCCCCUCUCCAAGGGGGAAGGACACAUAUCAAGAUGACCUUUCUCUGGUGUGAUGCAGUCCAGCAGCUGUUGUUAAAAGCCUCCAGGAGCAGAAACAAAUGGAAGGAUCAGUUGCAGUCUAAAACACUGGCAUUUAAGCCAUUGCUUAAGCCACCACGUUAGAAGAGAGAGAUGAAGGUUUUCUUUGUGACAAAUUGAUGCUAGCACUCCCCUCCAGCAAAGGAGAGAUAACAAGUCCUAAUAAAACCACUUUUCAGCUUCACAGAUACAGGUUUCCUCUACUGCCCCUACAAAAUAAUCUUGCCUAGCUGAUACCACUCCCUGUCUGCAGGAGUUCUGGGGAUUGGUGCUCUAAGCAGAGCCCUGCUUGCAUGUUUUGUGAUAAACUGUGAACUGUUCAGAACCACACACUUUCUCACAUAAUAGGAAGCUGCUGUUUGUUGUUCCUCCUGGCUGGCUCCAAGCAACCAAAGGCGUCGACGUUUGGAAGAUAAAUACAUGCAGAGCCAGGAGAUGCCGUUGGAGCCACAGGCUAUACCGGUUCCUACUCUCUGAAAACCUGUAGGAGGAGAGAUGCUAUUGCUCCCAAAUACAGCCGUGAGCUUGUCAGAGCAGGGAGAGCUGCUUGGGUGCAGGGAGCACCCUGCUGCGUCCCUCCAUGCACGGGCAAGGGGUGGGCUGGCUCAGGGAGGGUAGGAGUUAGGGUAUCCCUGCUGGGGCAGCCAGUGGGCUCACUCCCUGUUCCUGGAGGAUAAGGAAUCUCUAGCAGCACCAGUCACUUUGCUUUUCUUCUGUUCAAGCUUCAUGCUUGUGUUGGAAGGGAUCCGCCUCUUUGGAGGGAGUUUUUCUGGUAGCGCCUGGGGUUUCUGCAAGUGCUGCUCAUUCCUGCUGUGCUCAGCUGUCUGCAGGGGACGCAGUGUGGGGUGGUCUGCUCACAGCAGCCUAGAGACCCAGCAGAAAAUGGUGUGGAAAAUCUGGUUGAGGUCACCAGUGAUAUAAGUGGAUUAGGUCUCAUCCUUUUGUUUUGAGGACACCUUUUUCCUCCCUUUUCUUGUGAAAUCACCCCUGUGUUUUGACAUAACCAGCGCCUUGGAAGGACACAGAAUGGGGCAGACAGAAGGCAACGCUUGAGUGAAUCUCUUCAAAGGUAAGAAUGGAUAUAAAAGAAGGGGGGCUACUGGGAAACUUGGGACUCAGGGUAAAAUUGCUCCAGAAGCUUUGCUGAUAAUACCCAAUCCUUAACACCAACCCCUCAAAAACCAAAGCCAGGAAUUUGUGAGGCGAGUACAAAAUCUUGACAGCAGGAAGCCCCUUCAGGUAGUUCUAGCUACAGCUUUGCUGUCAAGGCUACUUUUCCCUAACAGAUCUUGGGGGGGGUAUAAAAUCCUUUGGCAGGACUUCAUAGGCAAUGCUUGGAGACCCAGGGGCAUUUCUCAAUUGAAUUAUGAAUGGUUAUUCAGCGACAUUAAAAUGAAGCUUCUUCAAAACCUAGGCAAGGCAAUAAAGCCUUUAUGCAGCGUAUACAAGGCUUUAGGGCUCACCAUCACAGCGUACUCCAGAAGCAAGACAGUGUGCUGGCAGGAGCUGGCCCUUUACCUGGCUACCAUGAGCAUCCAAUCUCGUAAUUAACCAAGGCAGAAGUUUAGGAAAAGAUGUUACAGCUAACAAUUGCAGUUUAAGAUGAUCUCUGCUGGAGAUUAAGGUGAGAGCUGAUGUCAGAGACAGAUUAUCUUGUGUCUAAGGGUUGCUCUCCCUCUCAAGUAUCUGGGCAGAGGGAAGCUGGGGAUAUCAGGACAUGAGGCACAGGCCAGUGCUGCUGCUGGGAGGAUGGCGAGCAAUGUCAGGGGUGAGUGUGUGUGCUGCUGGCCUGCUCCCACCACGUGCUGCCUGCCUACUUUCUGCUCGCUCUCAUCUAUCAAAGUAAUUAUGCCCAUUACAUUUCUCCUUUCAGGUUUUACCCUCCCAAAUGUUAUUCCACAGCAUUAAACCCAUGGGGGAAGUGAAUUAUUGGGGAAAGUAACUAGAUAUAAUCCAGGUUUAAUGGGCACAUAGAAAAAGCACACUGGGUUGGGAGGGUGGCUCAGCCAGCAUCCUGCUUCUGCCGGCAAAUAGAAAUUUAUCUUGAUGUGUGUAUAUAUCUAGCUUCAUGAUCUGUGAGCUCUUAAUAAUUGGUUUGGUGACCUGCCGGCAGUGUUCUCUCUCUGUGGAGCUUUCCCCAGUCCCCAGUUAAUAUAAUGGGUCACAAAUCCCAUUUGCUUUUGAAUUCUGAGUAAUCCUUUUGUUAAUGUCGCCUAUUGCUUUUCUGGAAGCAUUGGAGGAAAUCAGAGCCAUGUGCUAAUCAGUAAAUCUGUUUCUGCAUGUUUGUAAGCUGCUGCCCUGCCCUGCCUGCCUUUUCCAGAUGACCAGCACAGCCCAUUUGUGUCAGACCCAACGUGCCCCUCUGCAAAAUAGAAAUUGUUUCCUGAGCUGUAGUACUAGCAAAUGGCACAGGCUACGAAUGUUGGAUGAGCUUGAGGAAAGCAGUGGGGUGUGAUGCGGAGCAGGCAGCCAAGUGAUAAGGGGCUUGGUGAGGAGGGAGGGUGGGCAUUCAGGGAGUCUGAUUCCACCAGUGCCCUGUGUGGAGGGGCAGGUAGUUCCCUGUUUCAGGGUGUGGGAUGGGUGACUGCUGGAGGUGGCACCCAUGGGGACCCACUUUUCCACUCCUGCUCCACCAGCGCUCACAGCUCAGCAUCCAGUCUUGUCCCCUGUGCAGAAGUAGGGGAUGUGGCACAGCAGAAGGUGCCCUACCAGCAGCAUGCUAGAGGCUCCUGAUCUAGCAGGGACUGAAGGCAGUGAGCAGGAUGGAUGUUGUCUAUCCCAGACCCCUCUGGAUUUCAUAUCCCUUAAUUUUCUCUGCCUGGCAACAGGACUGUGGUGAGCUGUAGCUGUCUUGCCUGCUAUGUCCUGCCUUUGUGGGCAGGAAGGUAUCAGAGCCUUUUCAGAGGGACAAGAAGCUGCCAGAUGACCAGCCCCUAAGUGAGCACGGGUAUACCCCUGCUGAAGGGAUGGAGAUCAUCAGCCCCCCAGAUUGCCUGAAGACCCUUAAAACACUCCAGAUCACAUGCUGUUGGUGCUAACCCAAAGGCUAUGAAUGGCUUGUAGGGACCAUGUUCCUGCUGCAGUGGCUGCCCAUGGAUGGAACUGGGUGGGAAACUCCAGUAGUGUCUCUAAGUGCCAGGAUACCUGAGUCACAAAGUCAGUGUUUCUUGAUUAUUUUUGUUUGUUUCCUGAUUUUCCGUACAUUUUCAGUCUCCUGCACAGAUGACAAGCCUCACCCUUUGCCUUUUUCCCUCACGCUUCCAUUUGUCUCCCUAUUUUUAGCCUGUCUGUAGCAUUCUUCACGUGAUGCCUGUGUGCACCGCUUUGAUCAGAGCUGCCGAUGACGAUGACACGACCUUGAAGCGUAACAGCCAGCAGCGAGCUCGCUGCCGCUUCCACCCUGACUGCGUCGGAGUGACUGGAGUAUCAAAGCUGAUGAGGGGACACCAGCAUCCCUGGCCACCACUGUGCAUCCUGGCAUCACCACCCAGGCCAGUCUUGUCCUGAUUUCUUCCCAAGACAGUGUGAAUGUAACACAUCUCUGAUGAAUUGGGGGCUGUCCUUGGUGUGCACUGGGAAUGAACAGACGGGCUGGGAACAUCUCAGUAUUUGUGUCUGUGUGACCGUGAGACUCAAAACCAGCAGUCAGAGAGGUCCCCAGGCCUCGGAUAAAGGUUAAGAUCUGAGCAGGGGACCUGCCAAUCUCACUGAUGUGAUUUGCAGUGAUCUCCUGGCUGGGCAGGGAGGGCGCAGGAGCUCGUUGCAGGAUGCUGAUGCAGAGCUUUUUCCAAGGAGGUUGUGUUUCCCCUUGAAUAUUAACUGGGAGCUGCCAGGGUGCAUCUGGGCUCUGUGAUGGGGCUGGAGGUUCCUGUAGGUACCAGGGAGCCAGCGACAAAUCGCACUGUUUGCGGGAGGCAACGCGAGCGGGCACACUGUCCGCAAGGAGCAGGGCAGGGUGGAAGAGCACGUCGGAGAUGCAGCAUGGAGCACUUGUGAAGCAUCGCUGUCAGCAGCACCACAGAGGCCAACCUGGCUCGCUUUCCCUGGCUUACAGGUCAGCGAACAGAUGGGACCGGUGAGCAGUCAGGGACCACCAUGGGAAGGUGGAGCCACCAGAAUUGGGGACAUGAGUGUGCAAGGGGUGCAUGCUGGGUACUGUUGUCCCCAGUCCAUGGGUGCAGUUAGCACCUCCCUGGGGAGGGGACAAGGUCGAGUGAUAUUCCAGCCUUCUCCCAAGAGUGAGCCAACCUCCCAGCUGAUUUUUCAGAUGCAAAGCCAGCUGUGCUGCAGAGCUGCUUGGGUCUCAUGUUUUUGGUUUCUUUGCUGAGCCUCAAUAGGACCAUCCAUCUUCUCCUGUCUCCUCCAGGACGCUUCUGCACCUACUACCAAGGAGCACUGUAAUCUCAGUACCCAUUUAACAUGAAUAAAAAGCCUUCUGGGACAGUAGGUCACGCUUAUACAAUUUAGCUCAAGUAGAGAAAAGGCCUUUAUAGCUAUGAAUACAUGAAUACUUAAAAUAUAUAUAUAACAUUGGUUAACAUCAGGACUUAUGAGCAUAAUAUAUAUAUAGCACUGGGCUAACAGUCUGUUCCUUGACUCCCUCUACAGAAGGCUGUAGCUGUUCUGCCUGUCAGCUCCAUCCCAGCGGCUUUUUGUGGCUGGAGUCACAAUUUGCACUGCUGCCCACUUUUGCUGGGCUCUUGGUAU